rnacentral:RNase_P_RNA from 2 species
AUGGUCGGCCAGGCGGUCGCGUUGGCUUCGGCCUGCGAGGAACGUCCGGGCUCCGAAGAGCAGCGUGGUGGGUAACGCCCACCCGGGGCAACCCGCGAGAAAGUGCAACAGAAAGCAAGUCCACCGGCCUGGCCGGCAAGGAGUGAAACGGUGGUGUAAGAGACCACCAGCGUCGCGUGUGAGCGCGGCGGCUAGGCAAACCUCACGCGGAGCAAGACCAAGUAGGAAGACACUGAGGCGGCUCGUCUCGUCUUCGGGUUGGUUGCUAGAGCCGUGCGGCAACGCACGGCCCAGAUAGAUGACCGUCCACGACAGAACCCGGCGUAUCGGCCGGCCAUCUCG